rnacentral:rRNA from 1 species
GGAAACGACUGCUAAGACUGGAUAGGAAAUUAGAAGGCAUCUUUUAUUUUUAAAAGACCUUUUUCGAAAGGUAUACUUAAAGAGGGGCUUGCGGCACAUUAGUUAGUUGGUAGGGUAAAAGCCUACCAAGACCAUGAUGUGUAGCUGGACUGAGAGGUUGAACAGCCACAUUGGGACUGAGACACGGCCCAAACUCCUACGGGAGGCAGCAGUAGGGAAUUUUCGGCAAUGGAGGAAACUCUGACCGAGCAACGCCGCGUGAACGAUGAAGUAUUUCGGUAUGUAAAGUUCUUUUAUUGGAGAAGAAAAAAUAGUGGAAAAACUAUCUUGACGAUAUUCAAUGAAUAAGCCCCGGCAAACUAUGUGCCAGCAGCCGCGGUAAUACAUAGGGGGCGAGCGUUAUCCGGAAUUAUUGGGCGUAAAGGGUGCGUAGGCGGUAUGGUAAGUCUAUAGUUUAAUUUCAGUGCUUAACGCUGUUCUGCUAUAGAAACUAUCAGACUAGAGUGAGAUAGAGGCAAGUGGAAUUCCAUGUGUAGCGGUAAAAUGCGUAAAUAUAUGGAGGAACACCAGAGGCGUAGGCGGCUUGCUGGGUCUUUACUGACGCUGAGGCACGAAAGCGUGGGGAGCAAACAGGAUUAGAUACCCUGGUAGUCCACGCCGUAAACGAUGAGUACUAAGUGUCGGGGAAACUCGGUACUGAAGUUAACACAUUAAGUACUCCGCCUGAGUAGUACGUACGCAAGUAUGAAACUUAAAGGAAUUGACGGGACUCCGCACAAGCGGUGGAUCAUGUUGUUUAAUUCGAAGAUACACGAAAAACCUUACCAGGUCUCGACAUACUCUGCAAAGCUAUAGCAAUAUAGUGGAGGUUAUCAGGGAUACAGGUGGUGCAUGGUUGUCGUCAGCUCGUGUCGUGAGAUGUUAGGUUAAGUCCUAAAACGAGCGCAACCCUUGUCACUAGUUGCCAGCAUGUUAUGAUGGGCACUUUAGUGAGACUGCCAAUGAGAAAUUGGAGGAAGGCGAGGAUCACGUCAAAUCAUCAUGCCCCUUAUGAUCUGGGCUACAAACGUGAUACAAUGGCUGUUACAAAGAGUAGCUAAAACGCGAGUUUAUAGCCAAUCUCAUAAAAGCAGUCUCAGUUCGGAUUGAAGUCUGCAACUCGACUUCAUGAAGUUGGAAUCGCUAGUAAUCGCGAAUCAGCAUGUCGCGGUGAAUACGUUCGCGGGGUUUGUACACACCGCCCGUCA